rnacentral:rRNA from 1 species
CCUACGGGGGGCAGCAGUGAGGAAUAUUGGUCAAUGGACGAGAGUCUGAACCAGCCAAGUAGCGUGAAGGAUGACUGCCCUAUGGGUUGUAAACUUCUUUUAUAUGGGAAUAAAAUGUUCCACGUGUGGGAUUUUGUAUGUACCAUAUGAAUAAGGAUCGGCUAACUCCGUGCCAGCAGCCGCGGUAAUACGGAGGAUCCGAGCGUUAUCCGGAUUUAUUGGGUUUAAAGGGAGCGUAGGUGGAUUGUUAAGUCAGUUGUGAAAGUUUGCGGCUCAACCGUAAAAUUGCAGUUGAAACUGGCAGUCUUGAGUACAGUAGAGGUGGGCGGAAUUCGUGGUGUAGCGGUGAAAUGCUUAGAUAUCAUGAAGAACUCCGAUUGCGAAGGCAGUUCACUGGACUGCAACUGACACUGAGGCUCGAAAGUGUGGGUAUCAAACAGGAUUAGAUACCCCUGUAGUC